rnacentral:tRNA from 1 species
UGGCUCAGUUAGUAGAGCAUGGCACUUGCAAAGCCAGGGUUGUGGGUUCAAUUUCCAC